GUUGAUCCAUGUUCCAGACGAAACCAGGCAUGUCAAACCGAGGACCAGCCACUGUUCGGUAUAUGAACACUCUAUCAACAGGGCAGCUCUCGGGUCUAGAGUCAGGCGGACCCCUUUCAUCGAUCACUUCCACAUUGAGCUUUGAACUCUUUCAACAGGGCAGCUCUCGGGUCUAGAGUCAGGCGGACCCCUUUCAUCGAUCACUUCCACAUUGAGCUUUGGCAUCUUCUGUCCUAACAACUUGCAGGCUCCAAAACUCACGGAACACGAAGACAUCCAAAGAGAUCGCAUUGUCUCCAGCUUCGAAGCAUUUGCCAAAAGCGCCUUG
rnacentral:lncRNA from 1 species